rnacentral:rRNA from 1 species
GACGAACGCUGGCGGCGUGCUUAACACAUGCAAGUCGAACGGAAAGGCCCUGCUUUUGUGGGGUGCUCGAGUGGCGAACGGGUGAGUAACACGUGAGUAACCUGCCCUUGACUUUGGGAUAACUUCAGGAAACUGGGGCUAAUACCGGAUAGGAGCUCCUGCUGCAAGGUGGGGGUUGGAAAGUUUCGGCGGUUGGGGAUGGACUCGCGGCUUAUCAGCUUGUUGGUGGGGUAGUGGCUUACCAAGGCUUUGACGGGUAGCCGGCCUGAGAGGGUGACCGGCCAAAUUGGGACUGAGAUACGGCCCAGACUCCUACGGGAGGCAGCAGUGGGGAAUAGUGCACAAUGGGCGGAAGCCUGAUGCAGCAACGCCGCGUGCGGGAUGACGGCCUUCGGGUUGUAAACCGCUUUCGCCUGUGACGAAGCGUGAGUGACGGUAAUGGGUAAAGAAGCACCGGCUAACUACGUG